rnacentral:tRNA from 164 species
GGGCGCGUAGCUCAGUGGUAGAGCACACCCUUCACACGGGUGGGGUCGCAAGUUCAAUCCUUGCCGCGCCCACCA